CGCAGGCGGUUAUUUAAGUCAGGUGUGAAAUCCCCGGGCUUAACCUGGGAAUGGCGCUUGAGACUGGAUAGCUUGGAGUGCGGCAGAGGGAGGUGGAAUUCCACGUGUAGCAGUGAAAUGCGUAGAGAUGUGGAGGAACACCGAUGGCGAAGGCAGCCUCCUGGGCCAGCACUGACGCUCAUGCACGAAAGCGUGGGGAGCAAACA
rnacentral:rRNA from 1 species